rnacentral:ncRNA from 2 species
UACGGAGGGGGCUAGCGUUGUUCGGAAUUACUGGGCGUAAAGCGCACGUAGGCGGACUGGAAAGUCAGAGGUGAAAUCCCAGGGCUCAACCUUGGAACUGCCUUUGAAACUAUCGGUCUGGAGUUCGAGAGAGGUGAGUGGAAUUCCGAGUGUAGAGGUGAAAUUCGUAGAUAUUCGGAGGAACACCAGUGGCGAAGGCGGCUCACUGGCUCGAUACUGACGCUGAGGUGCGAAAGCGUGGGGAGCAAACAGG